UACGUAGGGGGCGAGCGUUGUCCGGAAUCAUUGGGCGUAAAGCGCGUGUAGGCGGCCCGGUAAGUCCGCUGUGAAAGUCCAGGGCUCAACCCUGGGAUGCCGGUGGAUACUGUCGGGCUCGAGUCCGGAAGAGGCGAGUGGAAUUCCUGGUGUAGCGGUGAAAUGGCGCAGAUAUCAGGAGGAACACCGGUGGCGAAGGCGGGUCUCUGGCCGAUACUGACACUGGAGGAGCGAAAGCGUGGGAGCGAACAGG
rnacentral:rRNA from 1 species